CCUACGGGGGGCAGCAGUGAGGAAUAUUGGUCAAUGGUCGGUAGACUGAACCAGCCAAGCCGCGUGAGGGAUGAAGGUACAGAGUAUCGUAAACCUCUUUUGUCAGGGAACAAAGUCGGGGACGUGUCCCCGGUUGAGUGUACCUGAAGAAUAAGCAUCGGCUAACUCCGUGCCAGCAGCCGCGGUAAUACGGAGGAUGCGAGCGUUAUCCGGAUUUAUUGGGUUUAAAGGGUGCGCAGGCGGGUUGUUAAGUCAGCGGUGAAAGGCCGGGGCUCAACCCCGGGCUUGCAGUUGAAACUGGCAGUCUCGAGUUGGAGAGAGGUAUGCGGAAUGCGCGGUGUAGCGGUGAAAUGCAUAGAUAUCGCGCAGAACUCCGAUUGCGAAGGCAGCAUGCCGGCUCCACACUGACGCUGAGGCACGAAAGCGUGGGUAUCGAACAGGAUUAGAUACCCUUGUAGUC
rnacentral:rRNA from 1 species